rnacentral:rRNA from 1 species
GACGAACGCUGGCGGCGUGCCUAAUACAUGCAAGUCGAACGAGAGCGACCGGUGCUUGCACUGGUCAAUCUAGUGGCGAACGGGUGAGUAACACGUGGGUAACCUGCUCAUCAGAGGGGGAUAACAUCCGGAAACGGAUGCUAAAACCGCAUAGGUCUUCGAGCCGCAUGGCUUGAAGAGGAAAAGAGGCGCAAGCUUCUGCUGAUGGAUGGACCCGCGGUGCAUUAGCUAGUUGGUGAGGUAAAGGCUCACCAAGGCCGUGAUGCAUAGCCGACCUGAGAGGGUGAUCGGCCACAUUGGGACUGAGACACGGCCCAAACUCCUACGGGAGGCAGCAGUAGGGAAUCUUCCGCAAUGGACGCAAGUCUGACGGAGCAACGCCGCGUGAGUGAAGAAGGUUUUCGGAUCGUAAAACUCUGUUGUUAGAGAAGAACAAGUGCUAGAGUAACUGUUAGCGCCUUGACGGUAUCUAACCAGAAAGCCACGGCUAACUACGUG